GCAGAGGGCGGCAGAGGACGCCCGGCGCGGCCCUGCGGCCCUGCGGGCAAGCAGCAAGCUACUGCGUUCCCUUCGGCAAGGCCUAAGGAGCUCUUCCCUGCACCUUGUUCUUUUCGAUAGAAGCAUUUUUCCUGCCUCACUUAGAUGAUGACGGCGCUAUUCAGAUACGUUUAGUGACGUGGCAGAAGCAGAUGCCAUUUCUAAACUAAGGACGGGGCUGGGAUGAGGAAAGGGAGGUAUUUAAUUUGACCGUUUCUGCCUCCUUCUGUCAGACAUAUUCGACAGGAUUUAUUCAGUGCUUGAGGUAAGUCAGGCACUUUUAUAAAUGCCUGGGAACACGAAACAAAAAGUAGGUGGCAAAGCUUCGAUUUAAUUGGAAAGACUGCAUAACUUUUUGCACCUCUGAACGACUGGUCUGGGAGGAGAUGGAGGCUGGGCUUCCUGCAGUGUAGACGGGGUCUGUUACACCCGCUCCCUCCCAGAACUGCUGGAUCCCAAUCUGCAGUUUCACAAGCCCCCAGGUGACUUAUCCACGCACUUUCAAGUGUGAGAUGGGCAGCUCUGGAGGGCACCCAGGAGCUCCGUUCAAAUAUUUGGAAGACCAACAUUUGAAAGAGAAACUCCAGCACCUCCUAGAACAUCUUUUGUGGAAUGGCAGGCACCUCAUGGGGGCCCUUGGAUCAUGUGCCACAUGCAUUCAACAGUAAACAUCUUCCUAUAAUCAUUGCUUCAUUAACGACAAUGUAAGCCAAUGCACAGUAUUUAUCAAAUGGCAUCUAAGAUGGUUAAGGCACACCUAAUCCUCUCGUGGGUGCCUGCCAAGAGUAGAAAAGGGUGGUGUAUAGAUAUCAAUUUUAUUGUCCAGCAUUCCCUAAUCGAAGUCCCAAGUGGUCUGAAAACUUAGACGAAAGAUAAAUGGGCCACAGUAAUUAACCAGUGCAAUAACAGAUGUUAUACAGGAAACCUGUGUGUGCCAGAGCUAGAAGCAUGUUUUGAUUUUGAAUACGCAUUUGGGCUAGCACAUUCUUCCCCAAUAAUGGAAAUACGUAAAUGUUUUGUAAGGUAUUAAUUGCCAUGGCAGACACUGAAUUAUUUUUCCUUUACAAAAUAUACACAUAUGCUUUGUCAGAU
rnacentral:lncRNA from 1 species